CCCAGACUCAGAAGGACAAGCAUGAAUGAAAGCAUAACCAACAGUAGAAAAGUGAUGAGGAGAAAUGGAAAGUUCUAGAAAGACCUGUGCAGACUACGAAUUUAGAGCGUAGAAGAGACAGACGACUCUUCUCAGCUUUCCGCCUGUGCUACUCUUCUGUUCCUCUCUGUGAUGAAAUAUCCAAGAAAGUCAGCUGAAACGAGGAAGGCUUCAUCGUGGCUCUGGUCUACCAGGGUUUUAAAAGCCUGCACUCAGCUGGCUCCAUCACUUUGGACCGAGGUGAAGGGGACAUGACAGAGGCAGGAGGGUGAGCAGAGGAGGUUGUUCAUCUCAUGGCAGCAAGGAAAACAGGAGGAAGCGGGGCCCAAGGACAAGAUAGACCCUUCAAAGGGUAUGCCCCAGUGACCACUGUCUUUCAACGAGGACCCUUCCUUCCAAUAGCACACUAAACUAUGCACUCGUCAAUGGAUUGACCCACUCAUGAGGUUAGCACCCUUGGAACAGUGCCACAAGCUGGGGACAAAGCUAUCAGCAUGUGAACCUUCGGGACAUUUUGUACUAAAACCAUGACUUCGUUCUGACAAGGGUCGUGCCAAGCCCCUAUUGUUCCAGUUGAAGGCAUAAGCUGCCAAAGCAUGCACUUUGGGUGUGUUUGCUCUCUACCUUCCAGAAGAUUUGUCUCUCUUUGUCUUCUCUCCUUUCUGUGGAGUUUUUAUUUCUGCGAUUACACACAUACUUGCCAAGAAUUUUUGGUUUCCUGAAAAUUUAUUUUAAAAACGUCUUUGGGUCUGGAAAGAUGGCUCAGUGAGUAAAAGCACUCGCUGCCAAGCUUGGCUGCCUGAAUUCCAUCCCCCGGACUCACAAGAGGAAGGAGAGAACUGAUUCCUGAAAGUUGUCCUCUGACCUCCACAGGUGCACCAAGGCACGAGCGGGGUGAGCACACACGCGCCCACACACACACACACA